GUGAAGAGGGAAACAACCCAGACCGCCAGCUAAGGUCCCAAAGUCAUGGUUAAGUGGGAAACGAUGUGGGAAGGCCCAGACAGCCAGGAUGUUGGCUUAGAAGCAGCCAUCAUUUAAAGAAAGCGUAAUAGCUCACUGGUCGAGUCGGCCUGCGCGGAAGAUGUAACGGGGCUAAACCAUGCACCGAAGCUGCGGCAGCGAACGUAUCACUUAAAGCGAUUCAGCGGAUGACGAUUGACGGAGCGAAGCGACGUCAAAGCGUAUACAAAGUCGAGUCGGUUUAAGGAUACGUUCGUUGGGUAGGGGAGCGUUCUGUAAGCCUGUGAAGGUGUGUCGUGAGGCAUGCUGGAGGUAUCAGAAGUGCGAAUGCUGACAUAAGUAACGAUAAAGCGGGUGAAAAGCCCGCUCGCCGGAAGACCAAGGGUUCCUGUCCAACGUUAAUCGGGGCAGGGUGAGUCGACCCCUAAGGCGAGGCCGAAAGGCGUAGUCGAUGGGAAACGGGUUAAUAUUCCCGUACUUGGUGUUACUGCGAAGGGGGGACGGAGAAGGCUAUGUUGGCCGGGCGACGGUUGUCCCGGUUUAAGCGUGUAGG
rnacentral:rRNA from 1 species